GUCUACAGCCACACCACCCUGAACAUGUCCGAUCUCGUCUGAUCUUGGAAGCUAAGCAGGGUCGGGCCUGGUUAGUACUUGGANN
rnacentral:rRNA from 1 species